UCUACAGGUCUACAAACCUCUAUUCAACAGGUCUACAGCUCUACAGGUCUACAAACCUCUAUUCUACGGGUCUACAGAUCUACAAAGAUCUAUUCUACAGGUCUACAGGUCUACAAACAUCUAUUCUACAGGUCUACAUGUCUACAAACAUCUAUUCUACAGGUCUACAGAUCUACAAACAUAUAUUCUACAGGUCUACAGAUAUACAAACUUCUAUUCAACAGGUCUACAAACCUCUAUUCUACAGGUCUACAAACCUCUAUUCUACAGGUCUACAAACCUCUAUUCUACAGGUCUACAAACCUCUAUAUUACAGGUCUACAAACCUCUAUUCAGAUUGUAAGAAGCAAGAACUUCUCAAGUAAUUAAAGAAAAUAAUUUCUUUAAGAAGAAGUGAAGGUCAGUGAAUCUCAAGAACUUUUAAAGUAUCUUCAAGUGCAGAUGCAAAAAAGA